GACAGAGCUGCUAUGAAAAUCUUUGAACAGAUAACUCAGUCUUUGUUUUGGAUGACACUUCAAAGUGUCGACUAAACAAGAGAAUUUGUGGAGGGAAUGUUUUCUAUCAACAAUGUGUAUCAAAGUGAUGUACAGAAUUUCCAGUAGAAAAACAAGAGCUCCAGUGAUAAUAUGAGAAGUCAAAGACCAGAAAAGAAUAAUCAAAAAGCCUGUCUUAUCCAAGUGCAAAUGCUAAAGUGUGUUCAGAGAACGUUCAUUUAUUCAACAUUCACUAAGAGGAGGCACUGACUUCUCAAAGGAGAUACAAAAAGAAAUAAGACAGUAGGACCUUGUUUAUGUGACCCAAAUAUUCCAAGACCCUUUAUGUAAGUUGGAAAUUGCAUAUAACAGUGAACCCCAUUAUUUGAUAAAUAUUUCUUAUAAGAACAUAUCCAGGCACUUUACCACUUUUCUCGGACCAAUCAGAACUACCAGCAUCACGACUCUUUUCCUUUGGGGCCAUUACUAAUAACUAAAUAGCUUUAAGGAAACAAAGAGAAGCAUUGCUCUGAGAGGACGUGUUACAAGUGACAACUCUGGACAAAGACUGAUGUGGGAACUAAUGUUUGGCACAAAACAAUGUGAUGACCCAUAGUGAGACUUCUCAGAAUGAGAAUGAGCAUGACUGUGUGAAUUGCUGCAAGACUUUACAUAGCUUGGAAGAAUGGCACAGAUUUAUUAUGUAGUUAAACCAUUUUCUCUUACAUA